AAUCAACGCUGGCGGCGUGCCUCAGACAUGCAAGUCGAACGCGAAAGGCCCCUUCGGGGGCCCGGUAGAGUGGCGCACGGGUGAGUAACACGUAGGUAAUUUGCCUUCGGGUGGGGAAUAACAGCCGGAAACGGCUGCUAAUACCGCAUAAUGCAGCGGCUCGACAUCGAGACAGUUGUUAAAGCGGGGGAUCGCAAGACCUCGCGCCUGAAGAGAAGCCUGCGGCAGAUAGCUUGUUGGUGAGGUAAUGGCUCACCAAGGCGACGAUCUGUAACCGGCCUGAGAGGGCGGUCGGUCACACUGACACUGACAUACGGGUCAGACUCCUACGGGAGGCAGCAGUCGGGAAUUUUGGG
rnacentral:rRNA from 1 species